rnacentral:snRNA from 1 species
AGAUCAUUUUAACAUUCGCUGGAAUCAAAGUUUUAAAUCUGUUCUUAUCACUUUAAGAACUGAUACUUCUCUAUCUCAGGACUAGCUAUGAAACUGAUUUUUUGGAAGCGGGAGCUGGAACAGCAGCUUCCUGCAUCCACUGCACUCAGCGCCCUGUUAUUGUGGCACUGAACCUCCAGGAACGGUGGCCCUCCC